rnacentral:rRNA from 1 species
GUAGGGAAUCUUUCACAAUGGGCGAAAGCCUGAUGGAGCAACGCCGCGUGCAGGAUGACGGCCUUCGGGUUGUAAACUGCUUUUAUAUCCGAGAAAUAUGAUGGUAAGAUAUGAAUAAGGACCGGCUAACUACGUGCCAGCAGCCGCGGUCAUACGUAGGGUCCAAGCAUUAUCCGGAUUGACUGGGUGUAAAGAGUUGCGUAGGUGGCAGGGUAAGUAGAUAGUGAAAUCUGGUGGCUCAACCAUUCAGACUAUUAUCUAAACUGCUCCGCUCGAGAAUGUUAGGGGUAGCUGGAAUUUCUAGUGUAGGAGUGAAAUCCGUAGAUAUUAGAAAGAACACCGAUAGCGUAGGCAGGCUACUGGGACAUUUCUGACACUAAGGCACGAAAGCGUGGGGAGCAAACGGGAUUAGAAACCCUAGUAGUCC